rnacentral:rRNA from 1 species
UACAGAGGGUGCAAGCGUUGUUCGGAAUUACUGGGCGUAAAGGGCGCGUAGGCGGUUUAGCAAGUCAGAUGUGAAAGCCCGGGGCUCAACUCCGGAAUUGCAUUUGAAACUGCUAGGCUAGAGUGCAGUAGAGGAUGGCGGAAUACCCAGUGGAGAGGUGAAAUUCGUAGAUAUUGGGUGGAACACCGGUGGCGAAGGCGGCCAUCGUGGGCUGUAACUGACGCUGAGGCGCGAGAGCGUGGGGGAGCAAACAGG